UUGGAGGGCAAGUCUGGUGCCAGCAGCCGCGGUAAUUCCAGCUCCAAUAGCGUAUAUUAAAGUUGUUGCAGUUAAAAAGCUCGUAGUUGAAUUUCGGGAUCAGUACGCUGGUCGUGCCUUUGGUAUGCACUGGUGUCACUGGUUUCUCCCUUCUGAAGAUCCGUGAUGUCAUUAAUUUGGUGUCGCGGGGAAUCAGGACUGUUACUUUGAAAAAAUUAGAGUGUUUAAAGCAGGCUCACGCUUGAAUACAUUAGCAUGGAAUAAUGAAAUAGGACGUUUGAUCCUAUUUUGUUGGUUUCUAGGAUCGACGUAAUGAUUAAUAGGGAUAGUUGGGGGCAUUAGUAUUCAAUUGUCAGAGGUGAAAUUCUUGGAUUUAUUGAAGACUAACUACUGCGAAAGCAUUUGCCAAGGAUGUUUUCAUUAAUCAAGAACGAAAGUUAGGGGAUCGAAGACGAUCAGAUACCGUCGUAGUCUUAACCAUAAACUAUGCCGACUAGGGAUCGGAUGAUGUUAAUUUUAUAAUGACUCAUUCGGCGCCUUACGGGAAAC
rnacentral:rRNA from 1 species